CGUCUGCUACGCGCUGCCCGUGUCGUGCGUGCGCGACUUCAGCCCCCGCUCGCGACUGGAUUUUGACAACCAGAAGGUGUACGCGGUGUACCGGGGCCCGGAGGAGCUGGGCGUCGAGCCCGAGAGCCCCCCGCGUACCCCUCGGGACUGGGGCGCGCUGUUGCUCCACAAGGCCCAGAUCCUGGCGCUGGCAGAUGAGAACACUGACGCUCAGAGACCUCCGUGCAGCUACAUACAAAUAAACAGCAAAGCCAGAGAGGCAGCGCAGACCUUCUAGUGCCAGCCCUGCUUGUGUCUCCUCUGUAAGGUGGCUGAUGAGCCAGCACUGCAUGAUUCUACUGGAAUGUUAAUCAUUGAAGGUUGAAUCUGAUGUGAGCUUUAGUGUUCAAG
rnacentral:lncRNA from 1 species